rnacentral:rRNA from 1 species
GUGUCAGCCGCCGCGGUAAUACCAGCUCUCCGAGUGGUGGGGAUGAUUAUUGGGCCUAAAGCAUCCGUAGCCGGCUGGACAAGUCCCCUGUUAAAUCCAACGAUCCAAUCGUUGGUCUGCGGGGGAUACUGUCCGGCUUGGGGGCGGGAGAGGCCGCCGGUAUUUCCGGGGUAGGGGUGAAAUCCUAUAAUCCCGGGAGGACCACCAGUGGCGAAGGCUGUCGGCUAGAACGCGCCCGACGGUGAGGGAUGAAAGCGGGGGGAGCGAACCGGAUUAGAUACCCGGGUAGUCCCAGCUGUAAACGAUGCAGGCUAGGUGUUAGGGCGGCUACGUGCCGCUCUAGUGCCGCAGGGAAGCCGUUAAGCCUGCCGCCUGGGGAGUACGGUCGCAAGGCUGAAACUCAAAUGAAUUGACGGGG